GGUGGGUUGGCUCAGUUGGUAGAGCUAAGGGCUCGCGACCCGGAGGUCAGGAUUCGAAACUCGCAA
rnacentral:tRNA from 1 species